AACGUAGGAGACAAACGUUAUCCGGAGUUACUGGGCGUAAAGGGCGUGUAGGUGGUUUCGUAAGUCUGGCGUGAAAUUUCUCGGCUUAACCGAGGCAGGUCGUCGGAUACUGCGGAACUUGAGGACGGUAGAGGCGUGUGGAAUUCCGGGUGUAGUGGUGAAAUGCGUAGAUAUCUGGAGGAACACCGGUGGCGAAGGCGGCAUCCUGGACCGACAUUGACGCUGAGGCGCGAAAGCCAGGGGAGCAAACGGG
rnacentral:rRNA from 1 species